rnacentral:rRNA from 1 species
UAAGUCCCGCAACGAGCGCAACCCCUACUGCCAGUUACCAGCAAGUUAAGUUGGGGACUCUGGCGGAACUGCCGGUGACAAACCGGAGGAAGGUGGGGAUGACGUCAAGUCAUCAUGGCCCUUAUGUCCAGGGCUACACACGUGCUACAAUGGGCGGUACAAAGCGGAGCGAAGCCGCGAGGCACAAGCGAAUCGCUGAAAGCCGCCCGUAGUUCGGAUUGAAGUCUGAAACCCGACUUCAUGAAGUUGGAAUCGCUAGUAAUCGCGCAUCAGCAUGGCGCGGUGAAUACGUUCCCGGGCCUUGUACACACCGCCCGUCACACCAUCCGAGUUGGAGGUACCCGAAGCCGGUAGUCUAACCGCAAGGAGGACGCUGUCGAAGGUACGUUUAGUGAGGAGGGUGAAGUCGUAACAAGGUAGCCGUACUGGAAAGUGCGGCUGGAUCACCUCCUUU